rnacentral:rRNA from 1 species
UACGGGGGGGGCAAGCGUUGUUCGGAAUUACUGGGCGUAAAGGGCUCGUAGGCGGCCAACUAAGUCAUACGUGAAAUCCCUCGGCUUAACCGGGGAACUGCGUCUGAUACUGGAUGGCUUGAGAUUGGGAGAGGGAUGCGGAAUUCCAGGUGUAGCGGUGAAAUGCGUAGAUAUCGGGAGGAACACCAGUGGCGAAGGCGACUUUCUGGCCUGUUCUUGACGCUGAGGCGCGAAAGCUAGGGGAGCAAACGGG